rnacentral:tRNA from 1 species
UCCCUGGUGGCUCAGAUGGUAAAGCAUCUGCCUAUAAUGCAGGAGACUUUGGUUCAAUCCCUGGAUCGGGAA